GUGCCUUUAGCAUCCCCCCAGUCCUCCACCCUGAGGUUAUCCAGCUCACCCACCCUGGCCGCUGCCCCUGACCUUCAGUCUGUCUCUCUGUGCAAGGAAGAGGAGUGGCAUGCAGGGCUCACAGUUGCUGGAGGCCUCUGCUGUGUCCUCUUCCAGGAGCCUCAACCUCUACCUGCCUCCAGAAAUGAGCACCCCCGAGUCCUGAGCUUACUGUGGGGCCCAGUUCUGCACUGGCUGCCGGGGUGUGCGUUUCUGGGCAUCCCCCAGGGCUGGACAGGCCUGGGUGCUGUGGAGGAGAGCCGGAUGCCAGUCAUCAGUUGGGGUUGAACUGGAUGACCUUUUAAGCUAACCUCCUGCUCCCCACCCUCUGCAUACACCCUGUUCGGGCACCUGACCUUCCAGGAUCACAAAUGUGUAAUAGGAAAAAACCCAAAAGCUUUAGGGUUCAGCAGUCUCUGAGGGCUGCAGUCUCAGGGCACUGAUGAAAAGACCAGGGUCCCAGUGGCCCACAAACCCUCUGGAUUAGGGGCUUCAGCUCCAAGGACUGAGCCCUGAGCCAUGGCCUUCCUCCAUCAUGGCUUCCCUGGGAGGGCCUGGCAGGCACAUGGAGGCCUCGGGAGACCCCAGGAGCCCACAGACUUUGAGUAAAGCCGAUGAUGUGCCAGUGUAUGGUGGGCCUCAGCCAAUCAGCUGAAGGCCUUAACAGAAAGAAGACUGAGAUCCCUGAGGAGGAAGGAAUUCUGCCAGCGACAGACUCGGGACUCACAAUGAGGCAUCAACUCUUCCCUGGGUCUCCAACCUGCCCUGAGGUUUUAGACUUGCUGCCUCCAUAAUUACACAGGCCAACUUUAAACAAUAAAUCCCUCUCUCUCCGCAUAUAUACCUAUCACACCCCAUUGGUUCUGUCUCUUUGGAGGACCAUGACCAGUACAGAUGGGCUCAGGGAAGGCAUCCCCAAGGGGAGGGUCCU
rnacentral:lncRNA from 10 species